rnacentral:rRNA from 1 species
AGAGUGAACGCUGGCGGCAGGCCUAACACAUGCAAGUCGAACGGCAGCGGGUCAGUAGCAAUACUGAUGCCGGCGAGUGGCGGACGGGUGAGGAAUACAUCGGAAUCUACCUUGUCGUGGGGGAUAACGUAGGGAAACUUACGCUAAUACCGCAUACGAACUAUGGUUGAAAGCGGCGGACCGCAAGGCGUCGCGCGAUUGGAUGAGCCGAUGUCCGAUUAGCUAGUUGGCGGGGUAAAGGCCCACCAAGGCGACGAUCGGUAGCUGGUCUGAGAGGAUGAUCAGCCACACUGGAACUGAGACACGGUCCAGACUCCUACGGGAGGCAGCAGUGGGGAAUAUUGGACAAUGGGCGCAAGCCUGAUCCAGCCAUGCCGCGUGUGUGAAGAAGGCCUUACGGGUGUAAAG